rnacentral:tRNA from 1 species
GCCGGUUUAGCUCAGUGGUAGAGCGUCUGAUUUGUAAUCAGGGGGUCGGGGGUUCAAAUCCCUCAACCGGCA